CCCCUAUCUUCACUAGCCAGCAUUUAANGUGGGCACUCUGGAGAGACUGCCCGGGAUAACCGGGAGGAAGGCGGGGAUGACGUCAAAUCAUCAUGCCCCUUAUGAUCAGGGCUACACACGUGCUACAAUGGCGUAAACAAAGGGAAGCAGGCCGGUGACGGUGAGCAAAUCCCAAAAAUAACGUCCCAGUUCGGAUUGUAGUCUGCAACUCGACUACAUGAAGCUGGAAUCGCUAGUAAUCGCGAAUCAGAAUGUCGCGGUGAAUACGUUCCCGGGUCUUGUACACACCGCCCGUCACACCAUGGGAGUCGGAAAUGCCCGAAGUCAGUGACCCAACCGCAAGGAGGGAGCUGCCGAAGGUGGAGC
rnacentral:rRNA from 1 species